GGCACAUUAGUGUCGGGCGUGACGCACCCGCUCCCCUCAGUCCCCUGUGCAACAG
rfam:Cell fusing agent virus strain Galveston, complete genome